UACUGAGCGCAUCUCCAAUGCUGUAAAAAAAUCCUUCUCUCUUGCAAGAUUAUAAUAAAGCUGAUUCUGAGUGACAAUCAUCGGUCUCUGUCUUGGUAAAAUCAAAUUUUUCUACAACAAAUGGCGACGAGGAUGGGAUUCCUUGACUGGGUUUUUCUGAGGACAUCGGCAGGAGUGUCUGAUCAACCUGGGAAGAGCUUCCCUACCUCAAACCCUUUUAGUGUUAAGGGGUGGAAGACUGCUGACUCGGUGUUCUUGGAGACUCAAGACUGGAAUCCAAAAGAACCAAUUUUUUUUUUCUUCCAGAGACGGUGAGAAACAAUGAAUCAGCAUAAUUUUAUUAAUUAUCAUCAAUAUUAAUUUGCUUAGUAGUUUGAUAAUUAUUACCAAAGGCUUAUAAAUUAAAUUGCAAACUAUAAAAAAAUAGUAGGAACAGAGAAAAUAAUAAAAGGGUUAAUAAUAAUAAGGACUUCUUAAAUUUUAACUAAAAGGUUAAAACUAACAGUUUUCUAAUGGGGACAAAGGGGAUCUGGGAUUUUUCCCGCCUUGGAACAGGAGCGAGGUGUACGGACCUCACUGGCGUGGUUGAUGCCACACUGCGCCCGGGUGAACAGUACUUCACCAGUAGAGUCCCUUCCCUGUACGGUUGAGUGAGGCUCCCCUAACCAGUAAGUUAGGGAGAAGGCGAUUAGGGUGCCAGAAAGCUCUAAACUCUUGUGGAGAUGUCUGCAGGUUUUAAAGGAACAUUUCCCCCAUUACCAGUAAGUAAGGGGUGUGGCAAGGUUGUCAGUAUGGGACAGCGGUUCAGUUCUAAGGGAUUACCUCCUCCUCCCCAGGGAGAAACGUGUAAAAAUAUGGACCACAACGCACAAAGUGCAUCAAUAUAUGGCUUAAAACUUUUGCAGCUCUACAAUAUUAAAAAGGACUGAGGAAGCAACAAAAGAGAAAAAAUAGGACAAAAAAAGACAAUGGAUGACAGGUAUGUAAAAACUAACUGACUGACUGACAAUGCUUCUGUUUGUGCAAAAUCUGAACCAUGUACUAAACCUUUUUCUCUGCCUCUUACACACAUACACAUACACAUGGGAAUUUGAGCGCUCCCUGGACAUUAGACACCUGCCCUCCCCACGGCUCCACUCCACCAGAGACGCUUCUUCAGCGUGACCUGAAAAGGAGAGGACCUGCCUGCUGCAGAUGACAGCGUGAGAGUUUCCACCAGAACAAAACUUAGAAGAAAUCUGGUAAAAAACCCAAAACCCACUGAGAUGGGCAACAAUCUAUGCUGUUUGCCAGAGCCAGAAGAGCGUUACACUGGACUCAUCUUGAGAGCACAUCUUAUGAAGACAGAGGAGAAACAGGCUGGAGCAAAGUUUUUCCUCCCUUCUGAAGAAGUUAAAGUGGACAAGGAAAGGGCAAAUGUCCACCAACAGGCCAAGGGAGGGCCUGGGUUUUUGGACUGAUAGGGGACUGUAUGCCACAACAGUCCGACUCUGGAGCGGUUAAGAAACUGAGGGGGGUAACGUACAAACACACACACAUUUGCAAAUAUCUUUUCUGUUUUUCUGCAAGGAAGAAAGCUUAUUAAUUGCUGUUGAUGGGGUUUUGACGUUGACAGAUGUAACAAGAGGUUAAAUGUUAUAAAGUAAUUGUUUUAGAGAAACAAGUUCUCUCUCUCAUCAUGGUAGAUUCAGGGUCAAAUAUUGCUACUAAAAGUCCUUAAAAGAAAGAGGAAUUUUUAAGCCCCUCCAAAACUCAGCUGUAACCAUGUGUUUUCUAUGUCAGCCUCAGGACAGAUCCCACGGAGGAGCAUUUUAAAGUCCAUCGCAUGUGUAACACUUGAUGGACUCUCCUUCAGGCAUUGUGUCCUGUUGUCAGAGUGUACCCUGUAAAUCUAACAGGUAGAGACCUCUGAGAAUAGGGUUAGUUUUACUGCAGAGUGUCUCCAUACAGUCUGACACAGUACUUCCAGUGGGGUACGGCUUUGGCCACAAGCGUUAACUGAAGCUUGAAUGGAUGGUGCAAAUUCAUUAUUUUCACAGCAGCUGCUGGGAAGAGGUUAAAUUAGCUGAUUUUUCCACUCUUCUGAUUUUAUGAAGCCUGCUGACUUACACUGUACCUCAUAUUUGGUCCUGACAAAACUAUGAAAAGCUUUGUCUGCAUUUUCUCCUCUGGGAAAAGAAAGAAAAUCUAAUCACUUCUGUGUUGCAUUGGAACGUAGACACACUUGUUAUUUUCUCUAACACCCCACCAGCAAAAUGUUUCAGAGUAAUGGAUUCAGUUAAACACAUCUUCCCUGGCAAAAACCUGUAAGAUGAGAAUGGAAAGAUGUAGUUUUGAUUCUGAAGGUAAGAAAGAAUCUAAUUGGACAAGUGGUACCACAAAAACUCUAAUAUCAUGUUCUCUAAAGACUCUGCUUAGAAAGGCCUUCUUCCAGAGACUGUGGAACUAUUUCCCACCACAGUACUAGAUUUUGAAGUAUGCUUUUCCUUUAAUCCAAAACAGAUCUGUGUUGUUUUAUUAUAAUGUCUGAAGCUCCUUAUGAACUAUGGGUUAAAAGAAAAUAUGACUUGGAGCUAAUUUAGAGCUGUGAGCUAGUGAUUAAAACUCCUAAAUCUGUUAUUGUUGAUGCCAGAAAUAAUAAACCCUUUAGUCUGAAAAUAUUUAAGGUAUUUAAUCCAUUUUCUUUAAUCUCUGCAGAAAGCUGGCAUCAGUGGUCCUCAACCUGUGGUUCCUGGACGCCUGAGGCCCGUGAGCCAUAGAUUGUGGGUCAGUGAAGAAAAUUUUAAUAAAUCAAUAAAGGUGGAGCUGUCUGCCAUUAGCAGGAUGCAGUCAGAUUACACCAACUGCAGCAAGGGUUAUUGGACCAGCCAAGGAAGAGACAUCGAAGGUCCAAACGCAAACAGAGUCCAUUCCAAGGUGCUGCUGGUGGCUAGAACAGUGGCUGCUUACCACAGACUGUUUCCUAAUCCACCAGAUGACUCCACUCCUGAGGGACAUCGGCCCAAGCCAACGGGCUAGAGCACUAGGCCUGCUCCAACCAUCACAGGAUGUAAAGAAAGGAGAUCACCCCAUGAAGGACAACGGCCCACCACAAGCCAAAGAACUGUAAGCUAAUCACUGGAGAGUGAUUGAAGAGGUGGGUGAAGAAAACAGUUUUUACAAUGGGCAUAAUAAUCCUUUCGGCAGCGCAACGUUUGCUUUAAAUAAGAUCACGGAUGAGAAGAAGAUGUCUUUUAUCUACCUCAAGUCUCCCAAAUUCAAGAUGUACAGAAGAUGGGACAUUUUGCAUGUUUGUUCUCUGUCUUCAUCAUUGUUAUGUUAUGUUGGUUUAUUCUUUCCAUGUUUCUUUCUUUUUUUUUUUUUAAUCAAAGCUUAUCAGGUUCGACAGAGCUGUCUCCACAUCAGAACAACUGAGACAGGUAACCGUAAAGGUAACCCUAAGAAUACCACAGUGGCAGCAAGGAUUGACCUCCAUGACGUGGUACCCCGCAGAGGUUAUGACAGUUGGUUUCAGAAUGCAGAUGUGUACAUUUGUGUCCGCACACCUUGGAGGCUAGCAAUUGGAAAAUGGUGUCCGGACUGGACUUAUGUGUACUGGAAUUCAAAUCCAAAAGGUUCUGUCAACCCGAACUCUAACUAUAUUCCACAGGGCCUGCGGCAAGACAUCAGUUUGAAUAGAGACAAGUCCACCCAACGACCUCACACCACUAGAUAUGAUCCCCUGGUAAUAACUGUCAGAGAAAUGUGGAAGAAUCCCCGGCCUACUGUUAAUCAUGCAGAACUUAAUGAACUUGUUUUGGCUUUAGGAGCUGAUGUCUCUGGAAGAGACCCACUGGGAUUGUUUCGAAUUCAGUUUGUGGAUCAACCUAAACCUUCUGAUGAAGUUCUAGAUAGUACUGGUAUUAGCCCUUCUCCUAGCCCAACCACACCUCCUCACGCAUUGGUCACUUACUUAAAUGUCUCAUCACCUGAAGUAAUAUUGCAGGUUGAAACUGGAUUUUCUGACAAAAACACCUGGUUAGAAUGGAUAACAUUUAUGCUAAAAGCAAUAACAUGACAGAGUGUAUUUCCUGUUCAUCAGCCAGACCACAACUUUUCACUACUCCUGCCUUCCCAUUUGGUGUUCCAGAUGAGUAUAAGUUGGCCAGUCCUAUAGUCAAUGGGUUUGAAUCAAUAUUUAUUUGGAUUACUCCUAACAAAAAUGUUGAUCGCAUUAAUUAUGUCUACUACAAUAUGCAGCGCUUAGCAAACAUCACCAGAGAUUAAAUGGUCGGCGUAACUGACCAAUUGUCCUCCAGUUCUCUUAUGUCUUGGCAAACCAGGAUGGCUUUAGACAUGUCGUUGGCUGAAAAGGGAGGUGUUUGUGCCAUGUUUGGUCCUUUAUGUUGUACUUUUAUUCCAAAUAACAGGUCCUGAGGGUUCAGUAACAAGAGCUCUGGAUGGAUUAUGCACCCUGGCUCCCUGGUACCCUGACUCUGGUGCUGAUUCUUUGUCUGACUGGUUUACUGCUACCUUUGGUAAAUAGAAGGUUUUUAUCAUUGCAGGUUUGACUUCUUUUGUCACCUUCACAGGUAUCCUCAUUUGCUGUGCCCUGCCUGCGUACUCUAAUUAAUAGAUUGAUUACCUCUAGGUCAUAUCAGAUGCCCUUCCUCAGAGGUGAAGGGAACCCUUGGAUUGCUCUGAUGAGUCUGAAAGUGACUCUCAUGAUGAUGUAUUUUUUUAAUAAGUUUCAUCAAUGUUCAAUUUCCAUCUGUACACAUAAUCUUCUUGAUUCUAAUAAUGUAGAUGUGUGUCGAACACACACACAGUUGAUAAUUGGUGAAUCAUUAUUUCAUUUUAUUAUUAUUAUCUUUUUUAUAUUUCUUACUUUAAUUGAUUUUUGAAUGUUCUAAUUCAUUAAAUUCUUUGUGUAUUCGG